AUGGUUCUGUUCUCUUGUGAUUACAGGGGCUGCCCUCAGAUAAAUGCAAGUUUUUUGGGAGUGGGGGAAUCAACAACCGAUCUCAGCACAGCUAUAGUCAGAGGCAGAAUACCUGGAGGGGUUGCUGUGCUUUGGGACAAAAAAAUAGACCCUGUGAUAAAGCCCAUUAGACUGAAUGUAGACUGGUGUAUUGGUAUACAAUAUACACAGAAUAAUAGUAGUUUUAUCAUUCUUAAUAUUUAUACUCCCUAUGAAUCUUGUCAAAAUGAGCAAGAAUACCUCAGUAGGCUGGCUUUUAUUAAUGCAUUUAUUCAAGACAACAAUACUUACAGCAUAUAUGUUUUGGGUGAUUUUAAUGCUGAUCUCACAGACAGCAGUUCUCGGUUUGCUAACCACUUAACUCACUUUUGUGAAGUUAACAAUCUUAUCCUGUCUACCAAAGUGUUACUGCCUGCAGAUAGCUAUACAUACAUAAGUGAAGCCUGGCAUAGUACAUCAUGGCUGGACCAUUGUAUUUGUACAGCUGAUGGACAUGCAGCUUUAGCAAACAUGACUAUUAGGUAUGAGGUAACUGUGUCAGAUCAUAUACCUUUUGGUUUUACUGUGAAUGUGGAACAAAUGCCAGCAACAACGGGAAAUAAUAUUGCUAAUAUUGCUACCAGUGUAAAAUUAGACUGGUCAGCAUGUAGUGAAGAUGAUUUCUUAGCUUAUCAUAGUAAUACCGAUAUACAUCUGAACAACAUUUCUUUGCCCAAAGAAGCUAUUUUGUGCAAGGAUGUCAACUGUAAGAAUGCUGUGCAUAAACAUUUACUCUGCUCCAUGUAUGAUGAUAUAGUGACUGCUCUGUAUGAAAGUGGUACACUGCUUGAUAAACAAUAUAAGCAUAAGAAACCUAACAUCAGACCUGGCUGGAAAGAACAUGUAUCCAUGUACCAUGAUGAAGCUCGCUCAGCUUAUAAAUGUUGGGCCAUGGCUGGAAGACCUAAACAAGGCCCAGAAUUUGAACAGAAAAAAUGUGCGAAUGCCAGAUAUAAGUACGCUGUUCGCUUUAUAACUAAAAAUGAGCAAAUGCUGAGAGCAGAUUCUUUGGGCAGGAAAAUGCUGUGUAAUAAUAUGACAGAUUUUUGGAAAGAGGUGAAAGCUCUUAAUAACUGUAAACCAUCUCUACCAUCAACUGUUGAAGGUGUUUCUGGGGCAGAUGACAUUGCAGCAUUAUGGAGACAGCAUUACAGCGCGUUGUUUAAUUGUAUAAAAAGUGAUCCAUAUGAGGACAAUUUUGACAUGAGUAAUGACACAAUAAGUGUAAGGACACAUGAAGUAAUGAAGCCAUUCAUAGGUUGCCUGAUAAUAAAUCCUCUGGUUUGGAUCACAUCACUGCAGAACAUUUAA
ensembl:lncRNA